rnacentral:rRNA from 1 species
GAUGAACGCUGGCGGCGUGCUUAACACAUGCAAGUCGAACGGAAAGGCUCCUGCUUGCAGGGGUACUCGAGUGGCGAACGGGUGAGUAACACGUGGGGGAUCUGCCCUGCACUUCGGGAUAAGCCUGGGAAACUGGGUCUAAUACCGGAUAGGACGAUGGUUUGGAUGCCAUUGUGGAAAGGUUUUCGGUGUGGGAUGAGCUCGCGGCCUAUCAGCUUGUUGGUGGGGUAAUGGCCUACCAAGGCGUCGACGGGUAGCCGGCCUGAGAGGGUGUACGGCCACAUUGGGACUGAGAUACGGCCCAGACUCCUACGGGAGGCAGCAGUGGGGAAUAUUGCACAAUGGGCGCAAGCCUGAUGCAGCGACGCCGCGUGGGGGAUGACGGCCUUCGGGUUGUAAACUCCUUUCGCUAGGGACGAAGCGCAAGUGACGGUACCUGGAGAAGAAGCACCGGCUAACUACGUG